UACAGAGGAUGCAAGCGUUAUCCGGAAUGAUUGGGCGUAAAGCGUCUGUAGGUGGCUUUUUAAGUCCGCCGUCAAAUCCCAGGGCUCAACCCUGGACAGGCGGUGGAGACUGCAAGGCUAGAAUCUGGCAGAGGGGGGUAGAAUUCCACGUGUAGCAGUGAAAUGCGUAGAGAUGUGGAGGAACACCGAUGGCGAAGGCAGUGUCCUGGGAAGUACCUGACGCUCAGGUGCGAAAGCUAGGGGAGCGAACAGG
rnacentral:rRNA from 1 species